GACGAACGCUGGCGGCGUGCUUAACACAUGCAAGUCGAACGGAAAGGCCCUGCUUUUGUGGGGUGCUCGAGCGGCGAACGGGUGAGUAACACGUGAGUAUCCUGCCCUUGACUUUGGGAUAACUUCAGGAAACUGCGGCUAAUACCGGAUAGGAGCUCCUGCUGCAUGGUGGGGGUUGGAAAGUUUCGGCGGUUGGGGAUGGACUCGCGGCUUAUCAGCUUGUUGGGGGGGUAGUGGCUUACCAAGGCUUUGACGGGUAGCCGGCCUGAGAGGGUGACCGGCCACAUUGGGACUGAGAUACGGCCCAGACUCCUACGGGAGGCAGCAGUGGGGAAUAUUGCACAAUGGGCGGAAGCCUGAUGCAGCAACGCCGCGUGCGGGAUGACGGCCUUCGGGUUGUAAACCGCUUUCGCCUGUGACGAAGCGUGAGUGACGGUAAUGGGUAAAGAAGCACCGGCUAACUACGUG
rnacentral:rRNA from 1 species